rnacentral:pre_miRNA from 1 species
CAAUGUUCCUCUAUUGCCUGAUUGCAACUGGUGGAUAGUGUUCAGUUUUCAGAGUCAAUCUAAGCACCAGUUGAAAUCAGAGCUGUAGGGGAAUAUCCUCAU